rnacentral:lncRNA from 1 species
GCUAAGUGGAAUUUACUUGAGAGGUGGUUCUUCCACAGCAAACGUUCUUGUAACUGCUUUUAGGACAUUUUUUUUGGGGGGGGGUCUUCUCAUUAACCCCUCCUUAAACGCAUGAACGGAGCGUUCAAAUAGCGAGGAGAUUUAGAUUUCCCUCUGUAUUCAUUUAGAUGAUGAAUUGUAAUGGCUCGAUAGUUCCUCUGGAACCAUUAUAGUCAAUCAGGUCAAAAUCCAGCUCGGAAGAGGUGGGGUUAAACUCCGGAGGUAGGUAACAGCAACCUUACCGCCUCUAAAAAUGUUCAAGCCAGCUAAGGUUCUGAGACUAGAAACCAAUGGAUGCUACAGCGGAUGUUUAUUGUUGUGACAGUGACAGACAAGUAACAAACUGAAAGGGAAAGUGAACACCAUUUCCCCAGGCAUUUCCCGCGUCCCAAGUUCCUUGUGGUUGUCCUAGCAUCUUCUCACUGGCAAUAGACAGAACAAGACACACACGUGGGAAGUGAGUGCAGCAGAAUAGACCUGGUGUUGUUGCAGUGGAGUUGGGUGAGGUCGUGAUGGAACCCUGGAUUAAAAUCACCAACCACACCUGCGGCCCUGGUGCAGGACCUGCAACGGACGCUUGAGGAAGGAGCACUCCAGGAUUCAUCUCUCCUGCAAACAACUUUCUCCAUAAAUGACUCUAUUCUUUGAUUGAUGUGUAAAUUCAGAGCUGGAGGGGGGAGUUGCACCUUCCCUUGGAGGCUGUAUAACCAGAAGCAGAGUCACUGGCAUCCAAUGAGGCAUGACACUUGAGGUCUUGAGGAGGCCAAAUUGUACCUUGGUAGAUGUCUGUCUCCUGUAAAGUGUUUGGUCAUGAAGAUACACACAGCCGGCUAAAAGGGGCUCACCACUCAGGAAGCUCUAUAUUAACACUGGAAGAUGGUCAAGCCCUCUCAUGCCCCCACCCUAAUGGCUACCUCUUGGCAGACAAUAUGGGCUACAUUACAUGUCUUCAGUUCUGA